rnacentral:rRNA from 1 species
UGGGGAAUAUUGGACAAUGGGCGCAAGCCUGAUCCAGCAAUGCCGCGUGUGUGAAGAAGGCCUUCGGGUUGUAAAGCACUUUUAUCAGGAGCGAAACGCUGUCGGCUAAUACCCGGCGGAACUGACGGUACCUGAGGAAUAAGCACCGGCUAACUUCGUGCCAGCAGCCGCGGUAAUACGAAGGGUGCAAGCGUUAAUCGGAAUUACUGGGCGUAAAGCGUGCGUAGGCGGUUUCUUAAGUCUGCUGUGAAAUCCCCGGGCUCAACCUGGGAAUGGCAGUGGAUACUGGGAGGCUAGAGUGUGUCAGAGGGUGGUGGAAUUCCCGGUGUAGCGGUGAAAUGCGUAGAGAUCGGGAGGAACAUCAGUGGCGAAGGCGGCCACCUGGGACAACACUGACGCUGAGGCACGAAAGCGUGGGGAGCAAACAGGAUUAGAUACCCUGGUAGUCCACGCCCUAAAGCGAUGCGAACUGGAUGUUGGUCUCAACUCGGAGAUCAGUGUCGAAGCUAACGCGUUAAGUUCGCCGCCUGGGGAGUACGGUCGCAAGACUGAAACUCAAAUGAAUUGACGGGGUCAUAGCUGUUUCC